rnacentral:rRNA from 1 species
AACCGCACCGGGGUUGAGGACAGUCAUCAAGUGUAAAUGAGGUAGAAGAAUCGAGCUGGAAAGCUCAGCCGCAGAAGGUGAAAGCCCUGUAAUCGAAACCUUGCAUACACGGGACUGUAUCCAGAGUACCACGAGACACGUGAAACCUUGUGGGAAGCAGGGGGGACCACCCUCCAAGCCAAAAUACUGAUAUCGACCGAUAGCGCAUAGUACCGUGAGGGAAAGGUGAAAAGAACCCCUGGCGGGGAGUGAAAGAGAACCUGAAACCGUAUGUCUACAAACAGUCGAAGUCUGUAUAUAUAUCAGGACGACGGCGUGCCUAUUGAAGAAUGAACCGACGAGUUACUGUUGCUAGCGAGGUUAAGUGGAAAACAUGGAGCCGCAGCGAAAGCGAGUCUGAACAGGGCGUUCAGUUAGUAAUAGUAGACCCGAAACCGUAGUGAUCUAUCCAUGGCCAGGUUGAAGCACAGGUAAAAUUGUGUGGAGGACCGAACUCGUGAGCGUUGAAAAGCUUUGGGAUGAGUUGUGGAUAGGGGUGAAAUGCCAAUCGAACACGGAGAUAGCUGGUUCUCCCCGAAAUAGCUUUAGGGCUAGCCUCGAGGUAGAGAGUAUAGGCGGUAGAGCACUGAUCGGGCUAGGGGCCAUACCGGUUACCGAACCUAGUCAAACUACGAAUGGCUAUACUUAUACUCGGGAGUCAGACAGUGAAUGAUAAGGUCCAUUGUCAAGAGGGAAACAGCCCAGAACACCGACUAAGGUCCCCAAUGUUACACUAAGUGGCGAAGGAUGUGGAAUUUCCAAAACAACCAGGAUGUUGGCUUAGAAGCAGCCACCAUUUAAAGAGUGCGUAAUAGCUCACUGGUCGAGAGACUCUGCGCCGAAAAUGUCCGGGGCUAAAGUGUAAAACCGAAGUCGUGUCAUAUGCAGCAAUGUAUAUGGGUAGGGGAGCGUUCUCAUUGGGUUGAAGCAGUACCGUAAGGAGUUGUGGACUGAUGAGAAGUGAGAAUGUCGGUAUGAGUAGCGAAAAGAAUGGUGAGAAUCCAUUCCACCGAAAGCCUAAGGGUUCCUGAGCAACGAUCGUCGUCUCAGGGUAAGUCGGGACCUAAGCCGAGGCGGAAAAGCGUAGGCGAUGGACAACAGGUUGAAAUUCCUGUACCGGUGUGAAUCGUUUGAUCGAUGGAGUGACACAGUAAGGUAGGUCAGCACGCGAUUGGAAGUGCGUGUUUAAGCAUGUAGGUUGAGCUAUAGGCAAAUCCGUAGCUCUAAAAGCUGAGAUGUGAUGACGAGCGACUAGCAAUAGUCGCGAAGUGAUUGAUCCUACACUGUCGAGAAAAGCUUCUAGGUAGAGACACAUCGCCCGUACCAAAACCGACACAGGUAGGCGGGGAGAGAAUCCUAAGGUGCGCGGGAAAACCCUCGUUAAGGAACUCGGCAAAAUGCCUCCGUAACUUCGGGAAAAGGAGGACUCAUGUAGUGUGAAGAGCAGAAACGCUUGGAGCAUGAAUGAGUGGCACAAGAGAGGCGCAAGCGACUGUUUACCACAAACACAGGUGCCUGCUAAAGCGAAAGCUGAUGUAUAGGUGCUGACACCUGCCCGGUGCUGGAAGGUUAAGAGGAGGGGUUAGACUUCGGUCGAAGCUCUGAAUUGAAGCCCCAGUAAACGGCGGCCGUAACUAUAACGGUCCUAAGGUAGCGAAAUUCCUUGUCGGGUAAGUUCCGACCCGCACGAAAGGUGUAACGACUUGCGCACUGUCUCAACGAGGGACCCGGUGAAAUUGAAGUACCUGUGAAGAUGCAGGUUACCCGCGACUGGACAGAAAGACCCCAUGGAGCUUUACUGCAACCUAAGAUUGAACUUAGUUAAUGAAUGUACAGGAUAGGUGGGAGACGUAGAACCUAGGACGCCAGUUUUAGGGGAGUCGCUGUUGGGAUACCACCCUUUCAUUAAUUGAUUUCUAACGGGCCGAGUAACGACCGGCCGGACAGUCUUAGGCGGGCAGUUUGACUGGGGCGGUCGCCUCCAAAAGAGUAACGGAGGCGCCCAAAGGUUCCCUCAGAGCGGACGGAAAUCGCUCGAAGAGUGUAAAGGCAGAAGGGAGCUUGACUGCGAGACGGACAGGUCGAGCAGGGACGAAAGUCGGGCUUAGUGAUCCGGUGGUGCCGAGUGGAAGGGCCAUCGCUCAACGGAUAAAAGCUACCCUGGGGAUAACAGGCUAAUCUCUCCCAAGAGUCCAUAUCGACGGGGAGGUUUGGCACCUCGAUGUCGGCUCAUCACAUCCUGGGGCUGAAGUAGGUCCCAAGG